UACGUAGGUGGCAAGCGUUGUCCGGAAUCAUUGGGCGUAAAGAGCGCGUAGGCGGCCCUGUAAGUCCGCUGUGAAAGUCAAGGGCUCAACCCUUGAAUGCCGGUGGAUACUGCAGCGCUCGAGCACUGUAGAGGCUCAUGGAAUUCCGGGUGUAGCGGUGGAAUGCGUAGAGAUCCGGAAGAACACCGGUGGCGAAGGCGGUGAGCUGGGCAGUUGCUGGACACUGAUGCGCGACAGCGUGGGGAGCAAACAGG
rnacentral:rRNA from 1 species